UGCUGUGUGUCAGCACUCUGUCCCAGCCCUGGAGAAGCUCAGAGUUUGGUGAUGUGAGAGCAACAAUGAUGGGCACUCAUAGUCUGGUGGUGGAGUUUGUUCUGAGGAUCAAGCAAAACGAAGUACGGGGAAGUCUUUGUACAAGCCUUUUUGAGGACCAUCACCAUGACAGCCAUUAAGCUGGAGCAAACUCUCCUCCUGUGAACCACUCUCGCAUAAAAAGGGAAGCAUGAAGAAUACAGCAUAUCUAGUGAAGAAAACCUGGGGGUUUUAGUGGACCACAAGCUUCUUACAAACCAACACUGUGAAGUGGCAGCCUAAAAAAAGGAGAAAGGAGGCUGCCACCAGAGGGAGCGAGCGCCCUGUUAUUGGAGCACAGACCAGCUAACCACUCCAGGGUGAUUCCUUCUGGGAUCUGUCCUAGAGGACCUUGGUGGCUUCUUCAAUCCCGGGGACUCCAACAAUCUAGGAAUGAACAACAAUCCAUCUUGAUCCCAGGGUCGCCCUUCUGUCUUCCCUGGAGACCUGCAGUUCCUGCCCUGAACUAUUGCCAGAGGAUUCUUUGGGCCAAAGCAUGAGGCCUGGAAGUUAAUUCCAGGAAGAGCUUGCCCACAUUGUGGGAUCCAACAGAAGUGGAGUGGGAUAAGGGAGAGGGAGAGGCAGUGGGCUCUCGACCACCAGCCCCGCUCCUGGCCAAGCAGGAGAGGGGCCCCAGGGCCCAGGUGGGGGCCCAGGAGGCAGAUCAACCUGCAGGAGGGACUCCUGUCCAGUGCCUCCUCCUCGGGUCUUUCUGAGUCCUGCCCCAGCCCAGGCUGUCCGAGGGGGACAGCUCUCACCUGAGCCCUUUGCGGGGUGUGACGUCUCAGGAAGGUACUAGGUGGAGCCAGGACACCCUGUCACCUCCCACCUCAUCUCUGGGAUUCAGGGGUCAAGCUAUCUUCCUGCUGGGAGUCCAGUGUCGAGGGGGACCCACUAGGAGGGAAGAUGAGAAGGCGGCCUUGGAGAAGAGUCAAGUCUGAGGAGAUUGGAUGAAUGGUGGGAGAAGGAGGGAAUCUGGAAGGGGUGUUGGUCUGUCCAGGGCAGCUGGGGGGAGAGGGAAGGUAUAUUUAUCUUCUGAGCUGGUGGCAUUAAAAAUAACCAGGGGCCCUGAGUAACCCAAGCUCCUCAGCCUCCUAUGUGAGGGUGGAGGCCAUCAGUGGAGACUAGAAGGGCAGAAUGAUGAGAAAGCCGAGGAUGGGACCAGAAUGGUCUCCUCCCCCUUUGCCCCCCAGCCUGGGCUACUGCUUAGCAGGGCGGAGGGGAGGCUGGUGCCCCGUGGGCUGGCUGGAGUGGGCAAGGAGGGAGGGAGGAGGGGAGCGGGGAGCCGGGCAGGAA